UACGAAGGGGGCUAGCGUUGCUCGGAAUCACUGGGCGUAAAGCGCACGUAGGCGGCUUCUAAGUCAGGGGUGAAAUCCUGGAGCUCAACUCCAGAACUGCCUUUGAUACUGGGGAGCUCGAGUCCGGAAGAGGUGAGUGGAACUCCGAGUGUAGAGGUGAAAUUCGUAGAUAUUCGGAAGAACACCAGUGGCGAAGGCGACUUACUGGACACAGUAUUGACGCUGAGGUGCGAAAGCGUGGGGAGCAA
rnacentral:rRNA from 1 species